AGAGUGAACGCUGGCGGCAUGCCUAACACAUGCAAGUCGAACGGUAACAGGCCCGCAAGGGUGCUGACGAGUGGCGGACGGGUGAGGAAUACAUAGGAAUCUGCCCUAUCGUGGGGGAUAACGUAGGGAAACUUACGCUAAUACCGCAUACGACCGAGAGGUGAAAGCGGGGGACCGCAAGGCCUCGCGCGAUGGGAUGAGCCUAUGUCGGAUUAGCUAGUUGGCGGGGUAAGAGCCCACCAAGGCGACGAUCCGUAGCUGGUCUGAGAGGAUGAUCAGCCACACUGGGACUGAGACACGGCCCAGACUCCUACGGGAGGCAGCAGUGGGGAAUAUUGGACAAUGGGGGCAACCCUGAUCCAGCAAUGCCGCGUGUGUGAUGAAGGCCUUAGGGUUGUAAAGUCCGUUUUAACGGGGAAGAUAAUGACGGUACCCGUAGAAUAAGCCCCGGCUAACUUCGUGCCAGCAGCCG
rnacentral:rRNA from 1 species